GCAGGAAGUGAGCCGAACCCAAGAGUAGGACCCCAAGGCGAAACCUACAAAUGCUCAGACGGUUCCGUUCUUCCGAGGAGAGUGGAGGUCGCUUCAUCGGCACUCGCUUUUAAAACGUGCGUGCGACACGACGGGUCGUACCUGGUGGUGAUAUACACAGUAACCGAUAAAUAGCUAUCGCGAGAGCCACGCGCGCAUCUACGGUUAACGAGAAUCGCGAUAAAUCGUAUGCAGAUACAGUGCGGAUUAAAUCGGUGAUUUUGGUUGGUCGGACAAAAAUCGAGUAAAGAAAAUCGAUAAAGAAAAAAAAAUAAAGAGGAGAAUCGAUAUAUAUUACAGCUACGUUCACGGUGGUCAGUGUGAAAAUCGUUUGUUCCUCGUACCGAUCGUGACAAUCGUACGGACUGGCAAUUCGAUACCGGAGGAUCGCUGCAUCUUGGUACGCGCUGGCGACAACGGGAAGUGACGAUGACGAUAUACAGAGUGUUCUCGUUGACGCGCUGUGACUCUUUGACAAGUGUGUAACGAUUGUAUUUGAACGUUCAAGUUGUGAGAGGCCGAGAGGCUGCGAUUGAGAUUCUACCGUACAGAGACAUUGUUCUAGAUUGUAUCGACACGUGAAAAGGUGGCCGAUUCUGUGAAUACAACUUGGUACGAAUCUGUCGCUGUUUAUACUGGCCCAGAGUGAUCAGGGUGUUCUGUGUUUUGGUACUGUCUCGUGUAACUUGGACUCGAGUUAAUUUGUACGUGGGAUACACGGGGGAGGAACCGUUGAGGAUUUAGCGUGACCUAUCGUUGCCCAUGGCACACGAGGCGGGUAUGUUCGUAUGAAGUGUUUGGACAUGGUGGAGUUUUGAGACUGAGCUCGAGCGUCGUCGAUAAGGGACGACAAGGGGGAUUCGUUGGUGAGGUCAAAGGUGAAUCCUGUUUAAGGAUUGCGACGUGAGCCGCGCAGUAAUAAAGUGAGGAUCAACCGUGGAGACGAGGAGGUGAGCCCAUGUUCGGUGUUCGGCGUAAGAGUUCCGCGUAGCAACCGCGGUGCCGUCGUGGACAGUCAGGGCGGAGGUGCGAGGGCUGUGACCUUCGGGUCAAAGGUCGGAUCGAUCGGGAUCGCGGAUCGGUACUUCUUGACGUCGAGCGUUAUAGAAAAAGGCGGCAAGCUGUACGGGCACAGGGAGGAAGACAUGCUCACGAUGGAGACGGACCUGAAGGGCGGGAGUCUGCACGGGCAGAUGCCACCGCAUCCUCAUCAGGGUGUCUCGCCCAUGGGACAUCAUACGGGAGUAUCGCCGUACGGUGCGCUGGGCUCGAUAGUACACAGUCCGGCCCUGUCCGGCAGUCCACCCAGUGCCGGCGGUUUGGCUGGUCUGGGUCUUCAGCAUCAUCAUCAGACGCCCCAGCAUCACUACGCCUCGAUGCAGGCCCAGCAGCAGGCCCAGGCCCAACAGCAAGCUCAGCAGCAACAGACGAUGCACUCGCUGGCCGCCCAGCAGAGCGCCGCCCAGCAGCAAGCUCAGGCCCACCAUCCUCACCAGCAGCCGCAGCAGCAUCAGCCGCCGAACAACAACAACAACACCAGCAAGAACAACAACAUCGACCGCGUGAAACGGCCCAUGAACGCGUUCAUGGUCUGGUCGCGGGGUCAGCGACGGAAGAUGGCCCAGGAGAAUCCAAAGAUGCACAACUCCGAGAUCUCGAAGAGGCUCGGGGCCGAGUGGAAGCUUCUCAGUGAGACGGAGAAGCGGCCGUUCAUCGACGAGGCCAAGAGAUUAAGGGCGGUUCACAUGAAGGAACAUCCCGACUACAAGUACAGACCGCGCCGGAAGACCAAGACUCUUCUCAAGAAGGACAAGUUCCCGCUUGGCGGUGGCGUCGCGGGCGUCGGCGGUAUGCUCGGCGUCGAUCAGAGACAAGUCGGCGGCAGUGGACCUGGUCAGCAACCUCAGCUGCCCCGAGACGUUUACCAGAUGCCUAACGGCUACAUGCCCAACGGCUACAUGGUCCACGACCCGACCGCCGCCGCAUACCAGCAGCAUGCCUACGGCGGGCACAUGGGUGCCGCCGCCGGGUAUCCCAGGUACGACAUGGGUCACCACAUGGGCGGCGGAAGUCCCAGUCCCAUAAACAGCUACAUGAACGGCUACGGCGGAUACGGGACCACGACGGUACCUGGUGGCUCACCCUCGCCGUAUCACCAAGCUCAGCCGGGCUCCCAGAUGUCCAGUCACAGCCCCAGUGGCAGCAGCAUAAAGUCCGAGCCCACGAGUCCUGCGAGCGCAGGGAUACACACCCCGACGCCGACGGGACCAUCUUCCACGGGUGCGCCGGGCGGGGUCAAGAGGGAGUACAUGAGCCAGCAGCAGGGUCAGCAGCAGCAGGGCGAUCUGCGGCAGAUGAUCUCCAUGUACCUGCCCCAGGGUGGCGAACAGGGGGUCGUACAACAUGGCGGAGGAGUCUACUCCCCAGGACCUUCCCCGGAUCCCUUGGCUCAGCAUCACUCGGCCAUCCCACCCCUCACUCACAUGUCGGAAAGCGAGCGUAAAAUGUUGAAUCCAGAGACUGGCUGCUACUCGGAAUCCGUACGAGCAUGGGAUUGGAACGCGACGGGCAACGUGCGCGUUCAAGAGUCCUGGCCGACGUGAGCGCCUUUCGCUACGGCCGAGUCGAACCUCCUCUUCAGCGACGAAGGAUCAGGCACCUUGAUCGUUUCGCGCAUCAUGGUACCACUACCCGGAGGCGGCUUGCAGACUACCCCCAAGAAAUUAUUCCUCGAAGUCACCCCUCGCAUGAGCACCGCUGUCCGAUCUCGGUAUCACGUCGUUCUCGACUCCAACCCUUUCUGUAAAUACGUCAUAUGCGUCUGGAGCUCACACGGAACAUCCUCAUGCCUCUCACGUACUGCCACUAAAUUACGAAUCGUCGUCCUCAUCGUCGUCGUCCUCGUCGCCGACUUUCACGUUGUCGUCGUCGACCCUAUAGCGUUCGACUUAGCAUAUUCCUCUGAAGUCAAAAUUACGGCACGCGAUUCUAUCGAGAUAUUCACCCGCUGUCAGAGUUAUGCUCGGGGAAGAUCCUGUUAACGGGAUUACCAAUGGUCUCUAGACUCCAUGAUGGGUCCAGUAGUGUGGCAAAAAAUGAGAUAGAUAAAAGAAAGAAAAAAAAAAUGAAUUUUGAAAAAAAAAUUUAUCACCUGUGCCGUACACGUACGAGAUGAACUUUGUAUAUAUUUCAAUAUACAAUUAUAUAUACAUAUUAUAUAUAGUAUAAAUAAUGUAGAGAAUGUUGGACGAUAAGGAUUAUUCUGAUUAUCAUAAUCGUGGAAGUUUAUCGGUCUUCGAUAAUUAUAGAUUCUUAUUAUUAUUAUUAUUAUUAUUAUUGUACAAUUAAGAAAUCCGUUGAUCACUCCUCUAGCGUUUACGAUACGUUUUUGUAGUGCUGUGCGCGCGAAUGACGCGAAUGAAUUGCGAGGCGGCAUGUCUGGCGGUCACGUGAAAAAAAAAAAACGCACAUGUUCUUUUUUAUUUUUCUAAUCUUUUAUCUCUACCAGUUAUACGCACGCUUCCGAAAUGAUUGAUGAACGGGGCAACGAGGCGGGAAAAUAUCGGAUUUGUUUGUACCGGUCAGGUAUCUUGGAAGGAUUGCGAUAAAUGUGGGAAGGACGGAAAAAAAGGGAGAUGUAAAAGAAAAAUAAAUAAAGGACCUCCGUGAAUGUAAACCUGGUGCUUCUGCAAGCGCACCUGACUCGUUCCGUCGAGUGCGUUAUCCUUGCGCCUGAGCCGUUGUGCCGCAUCCCUGAGAAAACCAGUAUGGGCCCAUCUCGUUACUUAUUCCAGGAGUGCGUGCACGUACAGGGUGAAAAGUGUGCGUGGAUGGCAGAAGGAUGCGUGAGUUUGGUCGUAAGCGCGUACAAUGCUUCGGUAAGAUAGCGUGUGGCGCAGCGUGAAACUCAUUCAUGAACACCCACGCGUAGGACCGACCGACUACGGGACUGACUUCUAUUAGUCCCGUCGGGACGCAGUCGGGAGACUAAAUGACGAAAAUGAUUAUUCCGAUGUUAAAUUUCGACAAGGGGUAUACGGGAGUAACGUGUCUUUUCUAGAUAAUUGAAUCUUAACAUUAAAACCAUAAUGCAAGAAAUGGUUAUGGGAGGCGUGAAUAUUUUUGUCCCACCUGAGUUUACUCGCGAAAUCCUGUAGAGGCGCUGCUCUACGCGUCUCCUUAGUCUAUGGGGGUUUGACGAUUUUGAAUGACUUUGAGAACUGUCAGGUUUAACUUGACGAUAAUACGAUACGGUGUAUAGAUGCUGGAGCGGAUAAAGAGAAGUGUGGAAGGUAAGAAGGAAAAAGGUAUCAAAAUGGCACGCCCACGUGUGAUCUUGAGUAUAAAUAAAAGCAUAUUAUUUCUCGGACUCUCCAGGGGCGAGCAACUGCAUAAAACGUGGAGCUCGAGUUAGCGGCUCUCUGGUAGUCGGCGAAGCUUAGGCGUGAACGCUCCAUAAAUAACUAAUUGUUGCGGCUGAAUUGCGUUCAUAAAGCGACCGAUAUCGUGGACCUCCCGAGCACUGGGAGUUCGAAGAUAUAAAUAACAAGAACAGGUCUCUGGCACUUAGGACCGUAAUGUUGGUACCUACAGCACGUCUUAUUAUAUCACGUGAAAUCCGAUAAAUUUUGAAAAAAAAAAUCUAUAAUUUCCAAAAUAUAUUAACGACGUAACUUUUUAUAGAAAUUGAAAAAAUUUGAAAAAAAAAUUACGAUGGCGUUCGUCGUCAUACAACUCGCGUUACUCCUACAGCCACACGCAAUAAAUAUUCCAACGACGUUAAUAAUUGAAAAUUCAGCCAAAAAAAGGAGAACCGACAGCAAGGCGUUACCGUAAGUUUCGCGAAUAUGACAAGGCCCGGCACUCGUCUAGGGUAAAUAAUUUAAAGGAAGCGGCGCGUACCUGAAGAACCGUGACCGUCGGCCAUGCGUGCGCGCAUGCGUGGCUGCGUGGAUGCGUGAUGAACGUGUAUGUAGGUGCGUCAGGUGAAUAAAUUGUCCGAAGAAUAAACGGUGGAUGUAGUUAAUAA